rnacentral:lncRNA from 1 species
CUGAUGGAGAUUCCACCCUCCUACCUUGCUGGUGAGAUGGAGGAUUUAGGCAUUCUCACUUGCUACAUCUGUGAUGUGACCCAGGAUUUGUUUUUGUGGAGGGUGCUGCUGGCAGAUGAGCCUUACCUAAAGGUAUGUAUUUCUGCUUCAAUUUUAAACCAGCUAUGAUACACAGAGAAUAAAGUAGGUUUGUUGUUUUUAAAGCCUCUUCAAUCUCAUGGAAAGUUUGGUUCAUCUAUUUCUGGAGAGGUUUAGAAUACAUGGAAUCCACACCCUCACAGACACGUGCACACACAGAAUCCUCACAGGCCUACAUGCCCAGCUCUGGGAAGCUGCCUUUCCCUUGAGACACUUUAUUAUUUAGAAAGGAAAAGCGACGUGUGAAAUAAAUCUUCAGGCUGCAGAGAAUUUAUCUACAGAAUACUGUUGUCAUCCUGAUAUUCAGGAAAUAAAAAUUGCUCUAAAUAGCAAAGGCAGAUAAUUACUGCCUUCCAAAGAGAGGUUGGCAAGAAUUUCAAAGAAAGGAAAGCAAGUUCGCUUCCACCAAGUAAGGCUACAGAUAAUAAAUUUGCUGUUGAUGUAGAAGCUGGUGGAAACCCAGCAGAAGCGCCAGUGUUAAUUACCCUGGGCUGAUAGAGAUUACCCGGGUGAUCUGUAUGUAAUACAGAUGUUUGUGGUACAGAUUCUAAGGAAAACAUACCCCCUUUACGACACCAACUCUUGCUUCUGUGGGCAGUUUGGUCCAUGCCCAGUAGAGGGAAGUCAGCCCCAGAGAUGAUCACUUUUCUUAAGACACUUAUAUUUGUUUCCUAUCGUGGCUGUAAUGUUACCACAAAUUUAGUGGCUCGAACAACAUAAAUUUAUCAUCUAGCAUUUCUGGAGGUCAGAAGGGCUGGGGUCAGCAGGGCUGCAUUCCUUCUGGAGGCUGUCAGGAGAGAGUCUGCUUCCUUGGAGGCCACCUGCAUUCCUUGGCUCUUGGUCUCUUCUGCAACUGGGUCACCCCCAUCUCUGCCCUCACUGUCACAUCGCCUUGCCUGGCUCUGACCCCUGCCUCCCCCUCUUGUAAGGACUCUUGUGAGUACACUGGGUCCACCCAGAUAACUAAGGAUAACCUCCCCAUGUCAGAGUCCUUACCUUAGUCACACCUGUCUCUUUGGCAAUAGAAGCUAAAAGGGUUAAAGGUUCUGGGGACCACAACAUGGACACCUCUGGGGGUUAUUAUUCUAUCCACAUUUUCUACUUCCAAGAGAACAGGUAAGGAGCCCAGUUUGCUUGGCCUGCUCCAAUUUAAGGCAAGAUCAGAAGGGCCCAGGUUGUACUUGUGUUCCUAAGGGAGCAGGCAUCCUAGAAGAUGCCCUGAGAGCAUGUGGGAGGAGAGUAGCCAGAGCAGGUGGUCUUAGACUUGGCCUUCUCUUUUAUUUAUUUUUCUAAGUAAACUUUUUAUUUGAGAGUGGUGUUUGACCUACAGUGAAAUUGUGAAGGUGUGAAAGCUGCCGUAUACUUCACACCCGGUUCCCCCUAUUAUUAACAUCUGACAUUAGUGUGGUACAUUUGAAGCAGUCAAUGAACCAACAUUGAUAUGUUACUAUUAACUAAAGUUCACACUCUAUUCAAAUUUCCUUAGUUUUUAUCCAAUGUCCCUUUUCAGUGUUCCAGGAUCCCAUAUUCCUUUUAAUCCUAAUGUCUUCUUGGGCUUCGCUUGGUUGUGACAUUUUCUCAAACUUUUCUCAUUUUUGAUGACCUUGACAGUUUUGAGAAGUACUGGGUCGGGUGUCUUAUAGAAUAUCUUUCACUUGGGAUUUGUCUGGUGUCAUUCUCAUAAUUAUAUUGGGGUUAUGCAUUUUUUUUAGAGGAAGACCACAGACGUAAAGUGCCAUUUUCGUCACAUGCACCAAGGGCAUGACCUAACACUGUUGACGUUAACUUGGUCACCUGGUUGACAGGUUUCUCCACUAUGAAAUCACUCUUCUUUGCUGACCCAUAGUUGGUAAGUUUGGGGCUUCCCAUGGGGUUAUAGCUUCAUAAUUCUGAGUCAACUAUAUAUGUGUAAGGGCUCGAACAAAGAAGUAAAUGGAUGACAGUAGGAGUCAGUGUCCCCACUGUUGAAGUAGAAGAUUACAAAGGCAGGGGGAGGUGGCUAAAAUAAACCACGUGCUAAUGUAUUGCAUU